UACACCAGUUAUUGAACUCAGAUAUACUAGUAAUAAUGAUUGGUCUACUAGUAUAAUACCUCUGGACCAGUAUCAAGAGGAACUACACGAAAGGAGAAAAGAAUGGGAAGCAUUUCAAUCUGAAGAUAUAGACCGUCUGACACGUGUACUACAAGAAAGGGAAAGGGAACUACAGGAGGAGAGAAGAGAAAAGGAACAAGUUAGAAACAGACUACAGCAACAACUUCAAGGAAGAGAACGACAACUUCAACAAGCACAGCAACAAGGACAAGAAAGAGAGAAGGAAAUUCAACGGGCCAGGGAACGAGAACAGGAUCUUCAACGACAUCUUCAAUCAAUUAAUGAAAAUCACAAGAAGCUUAAAGCAACACUUGCUCAUAAUGAUGAAUAUAUAGCUGAUAUAUUGAAAGAGAAGACACAAUUAGAGGAGAAGAAACAGAUU